AAAGAAAAUUGCAAAAAUUACGGAGAGGCGUGCAACGCGGCUUUGGUUAAACCCUAAUUCCUCGUUCACCUAUUUAUGUAAGUAGGUGAGCAGAUGAAGGCGGAUGAAGCAGGAGGAAGAGAGCCCCGCGAAGCAGAGAGCAGGGAGAGGGAGAUGGAGCUGCUGGAAGUUUUUGGGAUGGGAGCCUUGGGAAGCAGAGGCGAGUGAGAGACCGAGAUAAAUUCAUUUUCUCUCGUUCUCUUUCUCUUCUUCUGCUAUGCUUUUCUUCCCAAGGCCUCCCAUGCCGAUGAUUUCCCGUGGUUCCUCCCUCUACUUUCCUCUCUAAUCUAAUUUUCCCUUGAUUUCUCAUGUCGUCCGCGCCCUGAUGGGCUGAACGUGUUCGUGUAAGUUUCUUUGAGAUGAUUUUUUUGUGGGGCAAUUCGUCUGGAGGAGGAAGAAGUAGAAAGCAGCUUUAAAAUUGUAGAUCUACGCUAUAUCUAGCGUUAGACUGACUGUUAAAAGUAAAUCAGUUAACGAGUUAGAUCUAGCCGUUUUUUUUUAUGUUUUAAUAUUUGUCUCCCGUUAUAGAAUCUACAACUCAAAGUAUAAGAAGGGAUAAAAAUCUGAUUGUAUUGCCAUUGGUUUGUGCAAUUCCUUUUUGAAUCUGAUUUGUGAAAAUUUUAUUCUA